AAGUCACUGUUUUCAUCUUACUUUCCUAAUGAAAUAUGAUGGAUCACUGAAGAUGCAACACCUACUUCAAUGUCACUUAUCUGUAUUAUUGACGAAAAUAUUUGCCUUCAGUGCCUUUCUUUUGACACUGUAAGACGUUCACAAGAAGUAGCAUAGCCUAUGGUAAGCAAUAACAAAAAUAACAAGAAAUGCACGUCUAGAGCUUUGUGCCAUAUUAAUACAUCUGCUUAAACUUCAGUCUUCAACUGUCUUACCACUUUUCUAACAAAUUCGUCAUGUAUUGACUCCUCCACAAACAGCCUGCCAGCAGCAAUGCAGUUUUCACCUUUGUUGAAAUAUACUGCUCCCAUACCCUGAUCAGGGAAAUAAAAAACAUUUGUAUUUAUAUUUUUAUAGGCAUCCUUUUGUUCAUUCUUUGUUUCAUUUGCUGACUGCAAAGUUUCAGCUUUCACUUUCCUUAUAAGAGUGCAGACACUCAGACUCUUGUCCUGCCAACAAAAGUUCAAAAAAAUGUGGGAAACUUGUAAUAAUUUCUUUCUGCUUUUGUUGGUUCAGAGAAUUAAUGGAAUUAGCACUUCUUGUAGGCACACUGUGGGAGACCCUUGUUUGCUUCUUAGUGAGCAAACUGUAUCUGCUGUCAUUUUGAUCACCUGAGCAGGAAAUAAGCUUAAAUCUACCAAAUUUCUCAUUUGCACACUUUACUCAUGUACUUUAAACACAUCAUGGCUAGUUGGGAAGGUGGACUAUGUGAUCGAUGGUGAAUUAAUAAGCACUGUGUGAUAGUAGGGAAUACACUGUGUAUUUUAGCUCAUUUUCAGGCUUUUCUUUUUGAAGCUUUUAUUUCUUGGCUAAUAGAUUUGGACAGAAAUCACUUUUAAUAUGUUAACUUCGCUGAUGUAAAUUCUUCCUUGUCAUAUUUUCUAAUGUAUCCUUCUUGUAGAACAAAUCCCUAUCUUUUUGGUGCUGCACGAAUAAUUUAAUUAUGCUGACACAAAGAAAUAUCCUAUAGAAAGUCAGUCUGUUUUCUAACAGAUUUCAUGAAUCUUCACGCAAGGGCUUCCUGCUGCAGUUUUUGACAAGUCAAAAAGAGUACUGCAAUACUGUGAGAAUGUAUCACCAAGGCUUCGAAUAUACUUUACUUCAAACUAGUUACCAUUUUUACAGCUUUGUCAAGUUCACAGUCAUUGAAUAUGAUCAAUGGUGAUUUACCGCCAAGUUCAAGAGAAACUUUCUUCAGAUUAGUGGCUGCACUGGAAAAAAAAAAAGUACAAAAAGCCUUUUAAACAGCUCAUUUCGUCACUUCCUUUCAGUCACGUCUAGUGAAAAUGUACAGCAUAAACCUCUGCUUUUCAACAGUGACUUAGUAGAAUUCAAGAUAAAUGUAAACAAGCAUAUGUAGGUAUGCUUUUCUACUGUGGCUACAUGAAAGAUAUUCCUAAUAAGGUGCUUAAGAACUGGAUUAAGCAGCAUUUAUUCGUGAAUCUUAUGCUAAAAGUACCUUUUCAUGAUCUCUUUACCAGUCGGUGUAGAACCAGUGAAGCCAACUUUGCGAACAUCUGGAUGUUUAGACAAGUGCUGUCCCACUAAGCCACCUGGGAUGAGGAAAACAGCUUAACUGGACAUCAUGCUUGCGGCUGACAGAAGAAAAUGUUCUUCACAAGAGGAAAUGGUUUAUUUUCAAAACCCAGGUUUUCCAAAAUCUAGGGGACCAAUGUGGCACUGGUUAAUGUACAUAUAUUCUUGACAAACUUCUUUGACAAAAGAAAUAGCCUCAGAUUAUGAUGGGAGUACCUAAUCACCACGCAUACAGCAGCUGCCUGAAUUGAACAGGACCAGAGUUUAGUUAAGGACAGAAUGUGGGUCUGUAUGUUUGCAUUCAUCUCUCUCCCUUUUCUUUCUGCAAAAAAAAGUUAUUUCUCUCUUGAGAACACUCAAGGCAAACCUGACCUCUUGCCUUCUGCAGAAACAGGAUAUGCUCUGCCCACUGUCAGCAGCAAAUAUUCUGAGGGCACCGCUUCAGCUGUUGGAAAGCAACAGAGCUCCUCUGAAGUUUAAAAUUCAUCUGAACACCACAAUCUCUCUUCCCAAACGUAUGCAUCUUGUCAAUAUUUCUUUUUUUUUUCUUUUCAAAUUCCAGCAGAUGCCAUUAUUUUCUUAAAAAAUGUUGCUGUUUAGUACAGGUAAACAUACCAUAGCCUUUACUCCUUCUGGGAAGAGAAACCGGUUAUACAGAUCAUCCACAGUAUCAUUUUGGCCAACAUCACAUUCUCGCUGCAGAAGUAUGGGUCCAGUGUCCAAACCAUCAUCAGCCCAAAAAAUUGUAAAUCCUGCUUUCUUAUCUCCUUGAAUUAAAGUCCUGGAGGUAAAAGAAGCCUUAUAGUAAAUAGAGAAAACGUGAAAGCAGACAGAGAUAUCCACCUAUGUGUUACACAUUCAUUGCUUUAUGCAGAUAGAAGAUCCCAACUGUCUUUAUCACCAGUUUCAUUGCUCAUUUCAUAGUCAAGUACCCAAAGCUUUGAUACCGUAUAUGUAUUUUCACAAGGUGACAUUAGAAAGGCUGUAGAUGAAUCCAGAGUGCCCAUCACAGUCAUUGUGCUACUUAAAAUGUAUCAUCAGUGGCUUAAAUGUAUAGAGCAGAAAGUGUACAAUAGCUGUGUGUGUCUGAAAGAUGGAAGCAUCUCAACAGUCUAAAUAAUUCCUAAUUGUUUAUUGUAAUUAACUAAGCUUCACACCUUAUCUGUAGGUCAGCAAGGGGAGCACCGUUGUCCCACAGCUGAAAAAGAGCUAAAAUGACAGUGGAAAAUGAUGGACACUUAGCAAAAUACUAAUACACAACUGUUUAAUGAAAAGACAUUGGGGGAAUUUAUAUCCAGCCAGAUUCUCAGCUGGUCUGCAUGAACAUACAUAGCAAUAGUUAUACAGCAGACCUAUACCGAUUUACAUCAGCCCAGGAUCUGUUUCUGAAUUUCAAGGGAACAAUAGAUUCUGAAUUUCAAGGGCCACAUAGAUUUUCCACUUCUCCCUUGGAGGUGCAGGUACCUCAGAAUGAUGGAAAAUCACCAGAAGUGUCAGUGUGCAAACAUCAAUACUAUUUUUGUAAGACAUAUGGCAUACAUAAGUAUUCCUUUGGCAGUCCAUGUUGUGAGAGGAUCAUCUGAAAUCUGGCUUACAUAUUUGAAAAUUCGCUAUAUGAACACUGAAAACUAUAUUAUUAAAAGCAUGCAUUUGUGCAGAAAGAGGGGCAAACUUUGAAGACAGCUGGGGGAGUUAGCAGUUCAAACAGAAGUGAAAACUUGCAGAUAACAGAUCCUCCAGACACUGAAGCAGCAUCUCAUCUGUUUUAUUUUAUCCAGAAAUACAGAAUGAUCACCCUAAUGCAUGUUCUCAGCAUUGCUCUGGCAGAGAAGAAAGGACUGGGGAAAAACAUCUCUGAUGCUGAGUAGACAACAGGAUGAGAACGCCUGAAAACUCCUUCCUCUGUGCACCAUCUCCAAGCUCCCUUUGCAGAUGGCUGCUGGUAAGAAAGUGGCAGCAGCUGGAAGAGGCUGUAACGGAUGGAGUGAGGAACCCUCAGAGGUUCAGGACCUUUGCCUGUAACAGAUGCCUCUUAGAUAUGCCUCAUUCCCAGUGGUUUUUUCAGUCAUGGUGUUUGUGUGGGAAAAGGGUCUGCUACAGCUCAAGGGCUGCGGCCACAACAGAUGGAAGAAACUGUAACAAGAGCAAGGGGUGCAGGGCUGAAACACCACAGUCAUCAGUAAAGGCCAAUCAUCAGUAAAGUUAAAUUCUAGCAUAGUUAAAAAGUCUUAGGACAACAGCCUUUAUCUGCAAAGGGCAAAAGCAGAUGCUUACAGAAUGAAUAUGCAAAACAGGGCAAGACUUGGUGAUAGACCACUGGGAUCCUGAUUCUGGAAAUCUUUACCUCAGGAACUUGCUGAAAGACAGUUUGUGUGUCUGUAUCUACACCUUCCCAUGGAACAGAUCUUAAUGAACCCUUUCUCCAAGAAAACUUCCUUCUCAAGCUCUCUCUCUAGAUGCACAGUUCCACAGGUUAAUAACUGACUGCAUGGAGAAAAAGUACUUCCUUUAUUUAAUCAAAUCCUACUAUCAUCUGAUCUCUUUGUUGGCUGCCUCCUCACUUCGAUUAAGAAAGAAUGAGCAAUCACUCCUUAUUCACCUUCCCAUGUCUUUAAUGGCUUUUUACACUGCUGGCAUAUUUCUUUCCCAGUGAUCUGUUUUCCACACUGAAGUCUCCUAGAUUUAUCUGCCAUCAUGUGGAAGUUGGUCUACACCAAGAUUUUUCUGAGGUAUUUCUACUUCCUUCAUGUUCUAAGAUCCUUCCCAUGGUCUCUUUUCUGAACAACAACUUAGAUUUUACUGCUUACAUAUAGUCAGCUUUUUUCCCCUUAUGUAUCAUUACCUUAUGUUUUUUUAACUUCAAAUUUUAUCUCCUGUUUUCUGAAUCUUAAUUUACUCAUUUACGUAUUGUAGUAACACCUUAAGCUCCUUCACCUGGAAUACCAAUAUGUCUCCUGCUAUGCCAUUCUUUUUGCUUAGCACCUGUUUAUAUCAAACACCUUUGUCACUCUACACACCUCCCACCUUUACCACAUUUGAGAACAUGGUUGUUAUUCAAUUUUGUGCUUUAAAAGCUGGCCCUUUGUAUCUUUUACAACUAUUUUGCCCGACUUCGUGCUCUUUCUUAUUUCACUUAUUUGAGCAGAAAUGCCUCUUUCUGAAGGAUUUCUUUGCAUCUCUAAUGGUCUCCUUUACUCUCUGUUCAAGUACUCUUUUCAAGUACUUCAGCUUAGCUUUUUUUCUCUCUGUGGGUCGUCAUUCAAAAAACAAAACAUGCUUUUGCUUUGAAUUUGCAGCAUUAAAUUUUUAGAUAACCAUCAUGAUGCCUGCAAGAUUCUUUUUUUUUUUUUUUUUAAAUAUAUUUAGACAAUUUCUCUUUGAAUUUAAACAUAAUAAUACGGACAUUUCUUUUGACAUAGGAAUGCUACAUCAGAGUUCACUGUGGUCAUUACGGUAGUUUAGUUCUUUCACAGUAACAUUUUGAAUCUAGUCUUGUGCAUUGCACAGGAUGAUAGAGGUUCUUCUUCUUAUGGAUUCUUUCUUUCCUUCCCUUCUGUGAAAUCUUAAGACUCUGCAUGAAGCCCUGUUGUGACAGUUACCUAUUGUUUGAGGGAGACUAGCUGCAAGGGUACCAUCCUGCCUAUGGAAACUACAUAUUGCUGAUUUACCUACGUGAGUAAAAUACACAAGUGCACAGACCACAUCACUGAUCUUCCAGGAGUAACGGCUGCACUUGUGGUGGAAAUAAUGUUGAGUCUCUGGUACGAAGUGCAGUGCAUGAUCCAAAUACUCAGCUGCUUCAGAGAAGCUGUUUCAGAGCAGUUGCAAGGCAACAGAACUGUGUCAGUGUUUACAUAAAUAAUGGAUCUGGCCCAACGUCCUAACAGGAUAAAUCUGUAGUUUUGAUGAACAACAGGCAAAAACUUACCAGUUGAUUGCAGAAGCUCCUCGGUGGCGUGGUAGGAUGGAUGGAUGGUAAAUAAUUGAGCCAUGUUUUGGGCAGUCAAUGACAUCCAUUGGGAUGAACUGUGUACAGAAUGGAAGGACAUUGAGCUCUGCUCCAACUGAUUUGUAGGCUGCAAUUACUUCCUGGAUAGGCUUGCCUUUAGCUCUCCAUCUGGGAAAUUUAAAAACAGGAGUGCCAUCCUUCUCUGCUGCCAGUGCUGAGGGACAAAAAUAUAUAUUUCUUUAAUUCACAUUUUAUGUUAAAAAUUCGAACUGAAAUAAGUUUUGUACAAUAACCCAGAUCAUGAAAUGUAUUACAGAUACCCCUUUGUACUGUUCUGUUUUACUCUACACUUGGAUAAAUUUGAUUAAUUAUGUCAUUGAUUCUCAUUCCUAUAGCUUGGGCCAUUCUCAACUUUAAUUUCACUCUCAUGGCUUGGGUAGUAAGAAUGGUGAAUGCCACUGAAUAUUAAAUAAUGACACUUUGUUUCUUGUCUGGAGAUUACAUUUGCCUGCAACUGGUUUAGCAGAGCUUAAUUUUAUCUUUCACAUUUGUAUCUGAUUACAAUUACGUGCUUAUGUCAGCAGCAAUUUACCAUGCGGCUCAAAUAAUUACAGAUGCUAGCAGCCUUCAGUCAUUUCUUCAAUAUUCUGUUUACUGAUGCUUUCUGGAUAUGGUCCCAUAUGCCUGUGAGACACACAGCUACACCAAGAAUUUGGCUCAAGGACAAGAAAAAGCAACUGCGUUAUUGCAGACAGAAUCUUCAGAUGUUUGACAAACUUCAGUGUACAUCUGCUUAACAAACCAUCACAGAAAAGAUGGUAGAGUCAAACUCAACAGCUGUUGAGCUGGAUCUGUAAUAGGAAGAAAAUGGAAUACAGAAAAUUUACUUAAUUUAACUCCUAUUUCUAAACACUUUUUGGAUUUCCUUCCUCUUUUUCAUUGCUGAAAUUGAAUUUUGAGUUUGACCUGAAACAUCAUUAGCCUAUUAACAUAGGUCUUAAGUAAAUACUUUAUGGAGUAUCGUUCCAUACAGUGCACUGGAAGCUAGCGUGCACUAGAAGUGCUUUUAGAAAUAAAAAUCAUAGCUGACUGAGGAUAUAGAAACAUUAGAAAAUUUCACUUGCGACUUAAGUUGUAUGGAUCAUCAGAAAGUAAAAAAAACAAUGAAGUCUUAGGAAAGCAACAAACAUUCUACAGCUCAAUUAAAGUGGUCAUGAUGGAAAUCAGUUGAAGAUUUGUUGAGUUACAUCUGCUAGUAUAAAAACUGUAUAAAAAUAGUUUGUAUAAUGCAACCAACUACUAUGGUAUGCUUCCAGAGCUGGACAGACACACUGUCUUUUUCUAAACCAAUAGAUAUCUUCUAUAAUUUUUCCAGUGUAUGAUUAAUUCUUUCAAUGAGGUUACAGAAUGCAACAAACUUGAGAGCCAUUGGGAGUGCCACAGACCAAGUAAGAAAAACCUACAUUUGAUUCUUCCCUCAUUCUAUAAGAACAUGUCAGGACCUGAACAGAAAAUAAAGAGACAUUUGAGACAGCUCAUGGAAUGUAGUUUUAAUUUCUGUUAAUCCAUAAAGGAAAACAUGCCAGCUGGAGCACAGCGUAUGUUUUCUGGGCAGGAUGUAGUACUCGUGUGAACAGGAAAGGCAGGGAGAAGUGGCCCAGACUCAGUGAUUCUGCUCCAACUUUGAAACUGUUCCAAGACUAAUUGAAUUUUACUGUGAACACUACAAGUACACUGUGAUGCUCUUCAACAUAACCCAAGAUCUUGUAGAACCACAGAAUCUAGAUUGGAAAAGACCUCCCAGAUUCAGGUCCAGUAUCAACCUGACCUACGAAAUCCCAUCCCUAAGCCUUGUCCCUCAGUACCACAUCCACAAUUCUACAGUCCUUCUUGCAUAUGCCUCCUUGCUUCCUUCCUGCAGAAGUGUUCCUGAGGGUACUGAGAUAGCUGGACACUGACCUGACAAAACACGACUAAUUCUUAACUAGAUCUACUUAGUUCAUUGCACCACCAUGAGCCCUAAUGCAGGUCCAGCAGGGUACAAGAAUGAGCAGAGGGUGGGACUGCCCCUGCAAGCACUUCCUUUGCGCUUUGCCUAAGGUUCAUAUAGAAUCAACAAAAAAGCUUGCCUUCCCCAAAGCUGAAUUGGACAGAAACUGCUCCUAGAUUCAGCCCAUUGAAGACUCAGACUUCUCGGGAGGCCCGAACAAAAGAUGGAAUAUAAAUCCACAUCCUCACCUUUAUCCUAACUUUCAUCUCUCCCAAAAGGACUUAUGCCUUCUUUUUCUGAAUGACCCCCUAGGUGCCACAAGCUCAGAAGGAUAAAUAGGAAUCGAAGCACUGUCUGAAUAUUGUAACCACUGGUAUUUGUGCUGUACUUACACUUUGACACUUACAUGUUUUUCUUCUCCUUCCUCUCUUCCCUUUCUUAUGGAGGCUGGGACAUGAGGAUACCUUGACAAAGUGGGUUAUAGACUGGAUACUAAAUGGUCUGGGCUGCCCAUCAGAUCAUAUGACAAAUGUCCCGAGAAACACAUUACUCAAAACCACAGUCCAUUUCAUCACAAUUCAUUGCACAGUUGAAAUACUAUGGGUGAAUCUUGCUGCUUUCAAGCUGUUUUAGUUCUGCAGAUGGCCUCAGAGAAAGGGCAUUACAAAACAGAAGGUUCCACUACAGGAACACUGAAGCGAACUUGUCAUUUUAUGCAUACCCUUUUUAUAUAAAGCAGUAGGCAAUAACUAUUUGUCCAAAGGCAGUAUAUUCCAUCAGAAUAAAGCCGCAUGGCCAAACUUCUUUGUAUUACAGCAUUAGUCAGCUUGCUUGCAAUCAAAGUAGUAAUAAGUAAUUGCAAAGGUGGACACAACUUGGGCUGUUGCAAGAUUAGAUUUUUAUGGCUGGCUGGUAGAAAUCCUUUGUGAGAUCAGUGAUACUGGUGUUCCUAACCAAUGCUAUACUGCUGCUAGUAAUGCCUAACAUACAUCCACUAUCUUGGUGACAUUAGUAAAGACAAGUCUCUGUUCUGAAUAACAAAGAGGACAAGUUAACCUUGCUAUUUUUAUCUAGCAAGGCCCAGUGGAUGCAAGUAGAUUGUAUAACCAAUGUUUUAUGACCAAUAUUUUUACUUUUGCAGCAGAAACACAGCUGCCUUAUAAAGAUCAGUCAUCAGAUUUUCCUAAUUGUUUAAUUAUUUUAAGUAUAUCAGGGAAAAUAUAUGGGGAAAGAUAAAUGUGCUGGCUCACUGAACACGUCUGGCAUGGUAGGAAAUCCUUUGAUCUCUGUACAGAGCCAAUCUACAGCAGAAGCCCAACCAGUACAAUGAAGAAAUAUUAAAGAUGAUCCAGAUACGAGUUACUUCUACUCUCGUCCUUCUGUUAACAUCUCUCAGUAAGAACACAAGACUGGAAGUGCUCUGCUCAGUUAAAAUCCAGUCCUUUGCCAUCACAAGUGAUCAUGUAACACAAUUGCUUUUACAGAUUUAUCCAACCUCCAUUCUAAAUUUCUUUUGAAGUACUUGCUGCUGUACUCUAUUGCUUUUUAGAUACUUGGCAAUCUUCUUGAAAUUUACAGUCCAAACUUACCAUCACUUCAAGAGCUACUUUCUCUCCACUUACUCAAAAAGAGUUACGUGUAGCAUAAUCCUAAACUUAACUCUUAGUUCAUGUUUCCCUGUGAAGAAGUCUGAAUAUCAUAUUACAUGGAACUGUGUACCAGUUCCAGUUCCAAAUCACGAGCUGCUGUAAAUCAACAUCUUUUCCCUAUGUUAAGUAAGUUAUGCUUGCUUAAUUCACAUUAAUUGUGGAGCUAAGUCAACAAAUGGUGAGAAGUAAAGAGAGGACUAUGUUCUACAAAGGACUGAGGAGUUAAGAUUGAGAUGGGCUCAGAUCUUAAUGGCACUGUGCAACAAGAUCAGCCUGGCAAGAAAUCAACUCUGCUCUCAUGUGCACAGAAAGUUACUCAGCUGGAGACUGAAUUCAGUUGCAGGAUGGGUCUUGCAAUUGGUGAUUCUUCAGUUACUUCUCCAACAAAUGGUACGUGUGCAUCAUGUGAUUGUUAUUAGCAUCUGGCUUAGACGUGGCAGUUUGCUUGUCUCACCUUAAUACAUGCUCUGUCAUCAGCAGAAAGCUGGAGCCAAACUCACAAGUCUAUUGGGUUUAGUGGAAGAAAUCCCGUAUGUGGAAGGACUUGCAAGUUCAGACCACAAAUUCAGUCCUUUAUUUUUUGUCUUAUUUGAAAAAUGACAAUUGAUUCACUGCAGAAAAUCUAAUAGCCAGCUCCUAUCUUACUUUGGAAAUUCUCCUCAAGCAUUUUUACCUAAGAUGAGUUAGACCUGUAAAAGUGGGAAACCCUUUUUGAAGAAUUUAGUAUGAACAAAACACCCAAAAUUAAAAUGGAAAGUUCUACAAAAUUACACAGAAAUAAAAAACAGUUUGGUGUUUUCUUUCUUAUGGAAAUGGCAUAUUUGGGGCAGGAUACCAUAAGUACCAUUCACCAUAAAGCUGUAGAAAGGAGGUCUUUAAAGAACACCAAAGCAAUGCUAUUGAAUAAAGUAAUGGAUGGGUACUGGAGCGUUAUCACAGGCACAUCCAAAGAACAAACUUAUCACCAUUUCUGUCAGCUAUGUUAGGAGUUAUGUCAGAUUUUGUUUGCAGUUGCCUGGCUCACUGUGGAUAUAUGAUAUUCAUCAGCGGACACUUCUUUUCAUGGGAAAAUUAAUGGUCACAUAUAAUCACUGUGCACUUCUUGCUUUAUUUCUGCAAUUAUUUCUGUUGUUUUUUGAGUUCAACGCUGCAUAGAGAAGCAGCCAAACAAAUGCUGGUGACUAUUCUGUCAAAUUGUUCUUCCUAAAAAAGAGUCAAGUCCAAGAGUUACACAACCUUCUUUCCUUUCUAAUGCUACAAAACUUAUGCUGAGAAGAAUAUUUACUUCAUAGUUAAAAAUCAUUUUCUGUUGACGCCUCUCAUACGUAGGCACAUACACAGGUCUUACAUGUAACGACUUAUCAAUUUCUAAUCAAAUUUAUUGAAGGUGAAUGUUUAAUAACUGCUAGUCUGACUGUAAAGCUACCACAAAGACUGCAAUAUUUCGUUUAUUCUCUGCAAGAAUGUAGUGAUGCUAGUAAAUAUUUCAAU